rnacentral:sRNA from 1 species
UUUUGUUAUACAAUUUUGAUAUAUAUAUUAUGUAAGAGUUUCAUGAAAUUUAUGCGUCAAAUUCACUUAAAAAACUAUAUACCAAAAGUCUUACCAUUUUACAUUUACUCUAUAUAUUCAAUAAAAAUAUAAUUUAAAAGGUAUAGAGACAAAAACAACACAGAGAAUUCACUUGCAAACAACAAGUGCUUAAACUUUAUUUUUAUUGAUAAUAAACUCUUUAACAAGUAUUAUCUCGGAACUUACUUGACAUAUUCUACCUGAAUGAACAACCCCGACUAAGGAGAAUUAAGUUUAAUGAACAACCCCUGAAUGAACAACCCCGACAUUUUCUACCUGAAUGAAUAAUUAAGCCUAAUUGUCCUCUAUUUCUUAUCAGCCGCCCGUGAAGACAAAAAGAACUAACACUAAGAACAAUUAAGAAUA